CUGUGGCCGUCGGCGUGAACAGGACAACCGUCAGCCAAUGUGGCAAGCUGAAGGGAAAACAAGAGUUGGAGGACUCGUGGCUUUGCACGUACAAAGGCAUCCGCCCAUCCCUCCCCGCGAGCCAGCCAGGGAUGGACAAGUGCAUGUGGAGGCUGCUGCCCAGGUGCAAGGGGUGGGGGCAGGGCGGGCUGCAGAAUGCCCCAGAACAAAGGCGCCUCCAGGGGCCCGUGCAGAGGUCACCUGCUGCCUCCAGGGCAGAUUAAGGAGGACUGGAGAGGGCAUUCGGAGGAAAUGGUGCUGUUUUUCUUUGGGAAAUCAAUUCUUCCCACGCUUAAUAGGACAUUUUGCCCUCCCUCCUUGGGAGUCCUGGGCAAUGUGCUUCCAGGUCUCUCCAAAUCAAGUUCGGAAAAAGGUGGCCCCUUGGCCUGCCCGAGCUCCUUCAAACAGCCUGUGCCCACCCCACCCCCCAAGAAUCUCUCCUGCUCUCGGCCAGGUCUCACUUCCCUUUUCUCCCUCCUUUGGGCUCUCCCGCCCCUCUCUACCCAGGCUCCUUUCAUAAGGAGGCUGAAAGUGGAACUUUCCCUCACUCCCUUACUUUGAGUUUUCUUUUUUCCCAGUGACCUGGGCUGCACUUUGCCCCCACUCCCUGGCUGCCAAUCUCCUCAGGGUUCGAGCCUCUCUCUUGCCAUUCUUGUGGGCUCCCCCUCCUUGAGAGCUCCGGGAGGCCUAGCCUUCCAGAAUCCGAUCUCCUCCCAACACUGCAGACCCCCUGUGGAGGAAGGAAGAGGCUUCCUCCGAAUGAAUGGCCGCUACCAUGUGAAAAAGCCCAGACUAUCCUGCUAGACACCGGAGAUGUGUGGCCCACUCAUCCCCAUCAUUCCAGCCAUGUGAGCGAAGGCAUCCAGGACCAAACAGUCUCUGGCAGACCCAGCUGAUGACUAUAGCAUGUGAGCGAGCCAGGAGAUACCUGAGAGGGGGUUCCAUGGAGAUGUCAUCAUCUGAUUACAGCCACUUAAGGGAUUAUAUAGAAGACUUGAUCUCUGCAGCUGAUUGGACCAGGGACGGCACUUGACUUAAGAGAAGCUCGUUCAAGCUGGUGAGCUCAGCCUAUCAGGGGCUCCCUUGUAUAUGCAAACUAGGAGUAUUUGGGAGUGGGCAUUUGCGAUAAACCCCGUGUAGAAUGGGAGUUGGAAUUAAUGCCAGGGCAGAUUCAAGCCACAUGCAAGCCAGAAAUAGAGGGGAGUUAGGGGGGUGGGGGAAGCAGAGCAAGAUGGUCUGCAAAGAGAAUGAAGCAGACCGGGAGAGAGAAACUGAGGAUAAGAAAAAGUGGGAAGGGAGGGAAGGAGGAUGGAAAGAGGGAAAGACAGGUGCAGACAGAUGGAGAGACACAGAGGGCUGGGAGGGUACGGGAGGGAAACUUUGUGGCCCCCCACGGCUUCCUCAUCACCAGCUUCAGUUUCAAGAGGCCUGAAUUUCCUUUAUUUCUAUAAGAUGCUUCCAUAUCCUUUUAGUGAUCAGCCCUCUCCUUAAGUUUCUCUUUCUCGCAGCCACUGAGCACUGAUCCCAACCCUGACCUCGCCAUUGUAGCAGGAGGGGGCUCUUGGAGAGGGCUGGAACCUGCCACUGGACAUGUCUUGUGAGUGGAACAGGCACUUGAGGACAGAGCCAGUUGCAGGGCCUAAAUGAAAUCAUGGGCAGGUUACACAUGGAAGUCUGGGCAGAUGAGCAAUUGGCAUCUGAAAAGAGAAUUGGCAGACCACGGCGUGUUUGGGCUGAGAGACAAGAAACGGCAGGAAGGGAGAAGGGAACUGGCCAAGUCAAAGCAGGUUCUAGUUCUGAAACACUGGAAGGAGACUCACUGGAGUGGAUCCCAUAACCUGAACUGGGAGCCAAGAUGGGCUAAGACCUUGGGCCUUAUCCUCUAAAGACGGAAAAGAUCUCUCAAAAAAUGAUAAGGAACAUCUUUGUAAGUGUUUCCAAAAGCCCCACACAGUUUGUCUUUAUGUAAAGGAGUUGCUAUCACCAAACCACUUCCUGAAAGCUUUGGAAAACUCCAACUCCAAAGUGCCUGGGGCCUCUGUCUCCCUCCACGAAUCACUUAUCCUAUUCAUGGUCAAUUCUCAUUAUUCAUAGGUGUUAUGUUCUAUAAAGUCACCAUAAGCACUGAAAUCACAAAUACCGAGCCAUUGCUACUCGGGGAUAUACGGGGUUAGGGUCCUGCGAGCCUCUGCUCACGUUUUCAUCAGUUGGUGAGUACCAGAUAACCUUGGUUUAUGUGGUUCUAUUCAAAGAUACCCUAUUCAUUUAUCUAUUUGUUACUGAAGUAUAGUUAUACUUGAUUUACAAUGUUAUGUUAUGAUGAGUCAUUAACAUUGAACUCAUGGCCAAUAGCACAAUAACUCACGCCCGAACAAAGCUUAACUAACACAUGUAUUUUCUCUGUAAGGCUCAUCACGGCCUUCUUGCCCUUAGGAACGCUAGAGAGCCCAACUCAACAUCCAUGACACCUGCGAACUUCCCACUCUUCUGAGCCUUGCUACACACUAUUUCUGCUCCUCUGAGUGUCAUUUCCAACCCUCCCUUCCCAACACCCUUUCUACAACUUGUGGAACCCCCAAAUUCCCUGACACCAGGUGAACACACCCAUUUUUCAAGCUCAGAUCCAGCACCACCUACUUGGGGAAGCUUUUGCUGAGAACCCAGAUAGACUUAGGUUCUCCCUCACAAGUCCUUGCUCUAUUAUCACUGAACCCUUAUCACACUGGUGGUGUCAUUGUUUAUGGGUACACCUCCUCAAAAUGACAAGAGCUCUUUGGGGGAAGAGAGUAGUAUUCAUUAUUAAUUGUUUUAAAAAUUUUUUUAAAUUUUAUUUAUUUUUGGCUGCUUUGGGUCUUUGUUGCUGCACGGGCUUUCUGUAGUUGCGGCGAGCGGGCGCUACUCUUCAUUGCGGUGUGCAGGCUUCCCAUUGUGGUGGCUUCUCUUGUUGCGGAGCACAGGCUCUAGGUACAUGGGCUUCAGUAGUUGUGGCUCACAGGCUCUAUAGCUCAGGCUCAGUAGUUGUGACGCAUCGGGCUUAGUUGCUCCGUGGCAUGUGGGAUCUUCCCAGACCAGGGCUCGAACCCAUGUCCCCUGCAUUGGCAGGCGGAUCCUUAACCACUGCGCCAGCAGGGAAGUCCCCUCCUUAUUACUUUUUAUUUUAUUUUAUUUUUUUUAAUUUUUUUUUUUUUUUGCGGUACGCGGGCCUCUCACUGUUGUGGUCUCUCCUGUUGCAGAGCACAGGCUCCAGACGCGCAGGCUCAGCAACCGGCCAUGGCUCACAGGCCCAGCCGCUCCGCGGCAUGUGGGAUCUUCCCGGACCGGGGCACGAACCCGCGUCGCCUGCAUCGGCUGGCGGACUCUCAACCACUGCGCCACCAGGGAGGUCCCUUAUUAUUUUUUAUAGCCAUAGAGCCUAGUACAGUAUCUGGCUCCUAAUAGCUACUCGGUAAAUAUCUGAUGAGAGAAUCAGAGAAUCAGGUAGGAAGCCCAGUUACAAAAGUCUACCCUGGGCUAGUAGCAACUGGAGACUUUCUCUGACUCUCUGCAAAUUUACCUACUAAUGAUCAGACUUGGUCCUAUCCGAGGCUGAGCUUACAGGAAGGGAUCUAGCCCAGAAGAGGCAAGUGAAGCCCGGGCAGGGCCUGGAAGUGUUCAUCAUUGUAGCCAGGUGAGCACAGGUAACCACUAACUUUCAGCGGAGGAGCGUCCAUGGCCACUCACAGCGUGGACAGCCAAGUUCCAGGCCUCAGAUGGUCAGCUGAGCUGGUGAGGUGUCAGGGAGCUGUUCCAGCUGGAAGCAGAAGGAGAUGCAUGUGUACAACUGCACUUACUUACAAAGAAGUGCUGAGGAAUAAUCUGCUUCAUUAACAUGACACUGAAACUUCUAAUUGUAACACUGGGUCAAUAGCUUAGACAACAAGCCAUGCAUAAAGAUCAUUGCUUUCCUAACUUUCUGUCUCCAUCUUUUUAUUAGUUUACCCCCUGGCCACUAUAUUUUAAAAGAUACAGUCCAUCAAAGAAAUGGCAUUUUAUGUAUGUAUGUAUUUAUUUAAAAAAUGUCAUUGGAGUAUAGUUGAUUUACAAUGUUGUGUUAAUUUCUGCUGUACAGCAAAGCGAUUCAGUUAUACAUAUCUAUUCUUUUUCAUAUUCUUUUCCAUUGUGGUUUAUCACAGGAUGUUGAGUAUGGUUCCCUGUGCUAUACAUUGUUGUUUAUCAAUUCUAUAUAUAAUAGUUUGCAUCGCUAAUCCCAAGCUCCCAAUCCUUCCCUCUCCCACCCCUCCUUGGCAACCACAAGUGUGUUCUCUCUGUCUGUGAGUCUGUUUCUCUUCCAUAGAUAUGUUCAUUUGUGUCAUAUUUUAGAUUCCAAGUAUAAGUUAUAUCAUGUGGUGUAUGUCUUUCUCUGUCUGACUUACUUUGCUUAGUAUGAUAACCUCUAGGCCCAUCCAUGUUGCUGCAAAUGGCAUUAUUUCGUUCUUUUUAUGGCUGAAUAAUAUUCCAUUGUGUGUGUGUGUAUACACACACACACACACACACACACACAUAUAUAUAUAUCAUAUCUUCUUUAUCCAUUCAUCUGUUCACGGACAUUUAGGUUGUUUCCAUGUCUUGGCUACUGUAAAUAGUGCUGCUAUGAAUAUUGGGGUGCAUGUAUCUUUUUGAAUUAUAGUUUUAUCUGGGUAUAUGCCCAGGAGUGGGAUUGCAGGAUCAUAUUGCAACUCUAUUUUUAGUUUCUUGAGGAACCUCCAUACUGUUUUCCAUAGUGGCUGCACCAAUUUGCAUUCCCACCAACAGUGUAGGAGGGUUCCUUUUUCUCCAUACCCCCUCCAACAUUUGUUAACAAAUGACAUUUUAAGUAACUCCUUUCCCGUUGUUAUUAAACAGUUAGAACUGCCAAUCAAGCUCUGACCACCAAGAAAUGCCACGUGAACUCACUCUGUUCCAGCCAAAAGUAGACGCUUGAUAUUUACUCUGCUUCUGAUAGUUAAAUCUAUGACUUCUACAUGGAUUUUACAAUAUUGAGAUAACUUCAGCGUACCCUUUAUUAAGAGUUUCAUUAGCCUCUCUUUGGAAACCUCAGAUUGAGAGUAGCUGACAUCAACGUCUGAAUUCACCAGUGGCUUAACAGUGACUCCUAACGUGAGCCAAAGUGUCAGAAGUUAAAUCCGGGAGUGCCAAGGCCCCUGUGUAUUGGGAUCAUUGGCUUAUGGGUCAGCCUCUCCUACUCUUCUCCCAUGGUGAGCAUGUUGAUGACAAGGGCCUUACUCUGCUCAUCUUGGCAUGCCUGGUGUCUAGAACAUUGCUGGGGACACAGUAGGAGCAGAGCAAGUGUUUGUUGAGUGAAAAAAUGACUAAGCGAAUGAAUGACUUAUGGGCCCCAUUCAAGGCCCUUGAUCACUUAACUCAACUCCCAGAACACUUCUUACCUUGGCUGGGUAGUUCACACUUAGCCACACUUUCACAUCACAUUUUCCCUUUUAUCCUGUGGCCAUUUGUCUCCUGGAGUGUACUAACUCUGAGGGGCUAGUCUUGGCUUUCCCCUGUAAGCUGACUAGUUCCUUGUAGGCAGCCUGUACCCUCUACAGCAUUCAAUAAAUAUAUAUUGAGCUCGUUAGUCAGUUGGUGUAAAUUAUGAGGUACCUAAAGGGAACACUCAUCCAGGUGCUGUGGGCCAUUCAGGCAGAAGCCAUGGCUCCUUCUUAUAGGAGCUUGCACAAUAAAAAGAGUGAGAAAUUGACUAAGAGAAUGACGGAUGCCUAUUGCAGACAGGAACCCACUUUUUUUUUUUUUUUUGGCUGCGUUGGGUCUUUGUUGCUGUGCACGGGCUUUCUCUAGUUACGGCGAGCCGGGGCUACUCUUCGUUGUUGUGCGCGGGCUUCUCAUUGCGGUGGCUUCUCUUGGUGCGGAGUACAAGCUCUAGGCACUCAGGCUUCAGUAGUUGUGGCACGUGGGCUCAGUAGUUGUGGCGCACGGGCUUAGUUGCUCCGCGGCAUGUGGGAUUCCUCCGGACCAGGGCUCGAACCCGUGUCCCCUGCGUUGGCAGCGGAUUCUUAACCAUGGCACCACCAGGGAAGUCCCAGGAACCCACCUUUUUAGCUACCCCAAGGCUCAGGAAAGAUAGGUGUGUUGGGGUCCAGGGAAAAGCCAGCAGCCAGAGGUGAAAAAUCACUGAAAAAUGCCUGGGAGAUGGGUUCACCCAGGCUGCUUGGUAUACCCGGGAAAAAGGAAACCUUACUCCAGAAUGCAUCGCCGGGAUGGAUCUGCUUUUAGUGCAUGCCCCCCAGAGAGUCUCUUCCUCACGUGCCUGGAAUGUUUGGCCUUGUUAUAAUAAGAGAUUUCCCAUCAAGGAAACAUUUCAGUCCCUGCUUGAUGAGGUUGGUGGUCUCUAAUUUUGCUCUCUUAAAACACCACCCUCUCACACCUGCAUCUACCCCUCCUUCCCCCAGUCACCAAAGGAAAACCCACCAAGUCACUUGGGUACCAGCUUGUGGCAGCCUUUUAACCCUCCCCUUCCACGUCCUUGCCUUCCUCCUGCCCUGGAAGGGCAGCUGCCACCCUAGUAGAAAUACGGAAGUCAAUUUGUGUGGCGGGUACAGCGUUUUAGCAUACUGAGUGGUCCAAAUAUUUAAAUAUCUAUGAUGUAGGAAGCGUGGAGAACAUUAAAAACCACUUUCUCCCUGCUGAUUGCAAGAGAGGAAAUACACACAGUCCCUGUUCUCCUGCACGGUUGCAAAACUGCUGGCCUAAUCAUAUUGCCUAUGUAAAGCCCCUCUCCCGCCUCCUCUAGUCCGGUUUUAAGUUGCAUUUACUGUAAACAAAGAUGUAUUUUGGGGGGGGCGGUUGGAUUGAGUUUAUUGUUUAUGUAAAUCUCUUAGAAUGUGACAUAGCAAGAUAGCUUCCUAUGUUGCGUUGAUCCACAUUUUAGGCCAACAGCCAAAGUAUUUUAUCUUUUCCUUCAUUAUAGUGAUCUUCCAAUUAGCCGUGGUCUGUAAUACCCUGAUUUUGGUGGCAGUGGUUUGGACAGGAUUGUUUGAUAGUUCUGCUCGAGAGGCAAAAUAAGGGGCCUUAUUAUAGAAGUGCAGAGGUUGUGUGGGAGCUGAGUUCUGUUGCAAAGUUUGCCGAUAAGGGGAAAACCGGCCCUUAAGCGUCCAUUCUGUUCUGUAUAUUAACACUUCUAAUCUGCACUGCUGAUAAAACUGCAAGCCAUUUGCCUUUGGAGGAAUUAGUUCUGCCUCACUUGUGUAACCAGGCGAUGGUGAUUAACCUUUAAACUGUCCAAUAUUCCCAGCAGCCUCCUGCUCCAGAUUAGAAACUAUUUAGUUAUGACCAAGUAAAUUAACAACACUCCCUCCUCUGAAGAAUGAGAUUUGGAAGGUGGGUGCAUUUUAAGGUGGAAUUGUGUUUUGAAUUGGUGAGCCAUCCUUCUAAGGUGCUUAUUUCCUCCUUGUUGAAGUCGAGGCUGCCACAUUGGGGGCAAAGGCUCAGCUCGGGGGUGGGGAGGCGGGAGAAAGGGGAGGCGGGAGAAAGGGGAGGGGGACCAGUUGUCCCGGUUGGGUUUGCAGAUCUGAGAUUUCAUGGGCACAAAGGAAACCUGUCUGAGGUUUAGAUUUCCUUCCCUGUUAUCAUCCAGGUUAAGAAAAGGACUUUAGCUCUCCUGCUAGACCCACGCCACGCUCACGGUGGGAUUGAGUGGUUGUUCCUAAUGGAAAGACUAAGGAAUAAAGAAAGUAGCUCCCUUACCACCCUGCUCCCAGUUUCUGCCCGGAGUUGGAUGUCAGAAGAAGAUGGCAACUAACUUUCAUGUUUCAGACCCGGGGAUCUGCCCACCGCGAUUGCGUCUGCCCAGCUGAACUGCAGUCAUGCUAACAAUCCCGCUUCAGCUCUCGCCUGUCUGCCCAUUUCAAACGUGUCAUUCAUUUAUCACUGGAAACAUACCCUCAGUGGUGAGGGCCAGGCAAUCAUGUAAUCGUGUCAUGCCUGAAAUCCCCAAAUUGUUGGUCCUCCCUGGAUAACAAAUAAAACGGAACAACAACCCUCACUGCCACCACCGUGCCACCACCCAAUCCUGGUAGCAGCCUUUUCUGUUUUACUAGUUUCAUAUUAGCUUCCUCCUUAAAAACUGCUAAUCUAGAUACUGCAUUAGCAGGUUGUCAGUCAAGCUGCCAUCCACGGUGAAGCCUUCUUCAUAUACCAAUUUAAAUCAUUCAUGGUCUUUUCUUUGGCAUUAUUCAAAAGAUCAUAAUAAUUUUCUUGUGCCCACAGCACAAAAAAAUCAAUUAUUUCCCCACAAAGACUUGAAAGUACUUAGCGAGUGCGGCAAGAAAAGCUGAGGGUGAUAUCAAAUUGAAAUUGCACUCAUUACAUACAACACAAUUAGUUGCCACUAGCCUGGCCGGGCUUUAAUUCUGAAUGGCAUAUCUUUAUUAUUACAGAAACAAGCAUGCAAAUGGCAUUGUUCAGGAUUUGCCGAAAUCAAUAGGAUAUAGUGCUGUGUGUUUGGUGGCCACUGUCACUCACGCUGCUGUGGAUGUGAGAUAAUGUGUGUGUUUGAAUUAAUGAAGGGAGCAGGCAACAUCAUAAGUGACACCCAAAUAAAAGAAAUGGGUACAUGAUAUUUGUAAUUAUUCUACUUGUGUUUUUGUUGUAAAUACUUGUGCUUUUUGUUUUUUAAUCAAAGGAUUAAUUGCAUUUUAAUAAGGCAUUAUGAUUUGCAGAGCUUUAGUUAAUUAAAACUUGUAGUAUAUAAUUAUGAAGUGAUGCUGAGAUUUUCUAAAGAUCACCCAUAUGUUCAGAAUAUGUAUAAUUUUUCUGUUAAGCAGUUGCAAUCUCUCCCCCCGCCUUUCUCCCUGGUCCCUCCCCUGCCAACAGAAGACGUGGAUGACUUACAUGAAACGUUGGUGAAUCGACAAUUCCAGGUGGAUUUCUCUAAGUGGCAACUAGAACCCAGUUUAGGUUAUUGCACAAAUUAAAAUGACUGUGAAGCAACACUCAUGUGAUAAACUGUGGCAGAAAACUUUCUUGUCGACACUUGCUUUCCAGUUAAUCUUCCCAAGGUGCAGCACUGUAGAGGUCUGGAGAGCUGAUGUGAGUUUUAAGUGCAAACAUUGUGAUUCUAGAUCUGGGUGAGGUGGUACCACUUGAGAGUUAGACCCCGGCUGGUUCCCCAGGGCCCAGGACCCAGUCCCAGGGGAGCCACUGAGCCCCGCCCUUGUCCUCCAAGACACACAAGAACUUACUGGGGAGGGGUGGGGUGGGCAGAGGGGAUGCUGCAUGACGUAGGAGCUUGGAAUUCCCGAGUGUUAUCAUAUUAGUAAUUCACAGUGGAAUCCAGCCCAGAGAUGUGUAAUCGCGUUUCCUGUAGGUGUGUAUUGUGUGAAGGCUGAUGGAUUAAUUGCUAGAUAGAUGGAACAGAGCUAAGGUAAAACAUUAUUAAAAAGUUUUAAAAUCUUAAUGUAACAUUUUGAAGUUUGCUUUGGGGAAUUUUUUCAUUUCAGCCUCCUAGUUUUCCAUUCUCUCUUGGAUCAGGAAUCUGUUGUCUUCACAGAAGGAGGGAUCUAUUUGCUGAGAGCUUAGGAUGUGCUUUGUUGAGACCAUGUGGACCUGUGAUGGUGGACAGAUGCAGGAGCUGGCGGCUGGGCCCCGUGCAGCCAGUGGUACGAUGGGAUGAGCUGACUUCAGAAGGCUGGACUCCAUUUUCCCUUUGGGACCAGUGUUGGCUGGGCACCCAAGGGCUAAUUUUUCUCUCCCUCUAAAGACCCAGAGGCUGCAACAAGGAGUAUCAAGACUCCCCAGUCCCCCCAAAGUAACGUGAAGAAGGAUGAUGUUGAAGGUAAGAGGAUUCUGCAGUGUUUGUGCUCCAAACCUGGUUUUCCAGGAGACCCUCAGUAGUGCCCUGAGUAGGGUGGCCCAAAGCUGAUUUAAAAUCUAAUAUUAUUGGCUUGGUCAUGGCUUCCUAUUUUAACUCUGAAAACCUAGAGUUUGAAAAGGUGGCUCAUUCAAAGCUUGCUAACAUAUUUGCUCAGCAGCACAAUGACGUGUGAUGGAAAAUAAACUCUUGUGGCUUGUUCAUCCUAUCAGCCGUGGCCUGUAGCAGGGAAAGAAUGAGGGAAGGUCAGUCAAUUAUGUGUGGUAAUCACCGUAAGCAUAUUAUCUGAGACACAGAUGUCUUCUAUGACCCCACACGACAUGGCUAUUAACCUCGGAGCCAUAUAAAAAUGUAGUGGGCUUGGGGGGAGGAGUGGAGGUAAGCCAGACUUUCUGUCUAGCCUUGUCCACAGGCUCAGGAGAAAAAAAAGAAAGUUGUGGACAUGAAGACUGUUUGCAGGAACCCAGCCAACAAUCUGACCCCUGCUUACCGAGGCCAGAUCCUCAUGCCCCUCCUUCCCCAGACCUUGCUGGAGGCCUAGUCAGGUGAGGAAGGACUUGCCUCAUCUGAAAACAAGGCCAACGAAUUGACUCAGGAGAUACCGAGGACACACAAUGGCCCUGGGAUGCUACUUUCUGUUCACCAGAGGAAAGGAGAGAGGGAAAAGCAAUUUGGGUGUUGGUAUGGGUGUUUAAAUAAGUUGACCUCCAGUCUUGGACGGUGGUGGGCAGGGAAGACAGUGGGGUCACCCAGGCAUGUUGGGGGACCCAACUGGGUUACCCAGGGGACCCGGACUGAUGGAAGUCAAGGUUGUUAUACCUACCAGGCUUUUACCCCCAAGUACAGACGGGAUUCUGGCAUCUCCCUGGAGAAGUUCGGCCAGAGCCUCCUUGUAUGGGGCUGGGCACAAGGGUGAUGUUCCAAGAAAGCAGUCGAUGGGCUGUUAACUGGUCCGGGGUGGACACACACACUUAGGGAAGCACCUGCCCUGUGAAACACCCUGGACUGGACGUUGAGGAUUCCUGCCCUCCAGGAGCUUAUGGUCCAGGGUGGGGGGUGAGGAUGGGGGGAACCUUGAACUGGAAUAAGUGCUGCCCUCAUUUCCAAACAUGUUAGGGCUGCUGGAGUAGGUCUACAGAAAGGGUUCCAUGUGGAAAUGAAGAAGGGACUGUUCGAGGGGCUUGGAAACUUUUCCCAGAGGAAGUGCCAAUAACAACUGUCUUUGGAGGAACUUACCAGGAGCCGGGAGCUGUCCUGGGCACUGUCCCUGCCUGUGGUCUAAUUCUCACAACCCUGUAAGCAGCACCGGACCUAUCGUGAACUUGAGAAUCAGAAGGGUAAGGCUACUACUUCCGAAGGUCUCACAACUGGUUACAGCUGAGACGGAAUUCGGAGCCAGUUGACUGCAAACUCCACUAAAAAAGAGGAUGUAUUUGCCUGGCAGGCGAGAGGGACAGCAUUUCCAAUGAAUGGAGAAGUGUAAACAAGGGUGCGAGGUGCAUCCAGGCAGUGCAGGGACAGCGGGGCUGGGAGCAGGUGGAAGGUGCGUGACCAGGGAGCCAGGCAGACCCCGUCCCAGGACCUGGUGGCCCACGCCACAGGGUUUGACUUCAUCCCGUCAACAACAGAAGGACAGUAUGAUCAGAUGUGUGUUUCUGAAAGGUUUCUCUUAGACUUGCAGGGCGAAUGGACUGGAGAGGCUGAAGAUUAGAGACCUGAAGCCAGUUAGGGAAUUAUUACAGCAAGUCCAGGUACAGGAUGGUGACACAAGAUGACGAUGGAGAGGAAGGGGUGACUAUCCCGGGUGUUAGAGGGAGACCAGGAGGACCUGGCAGCUGAAGGCAAGUGGUGGUGGGGGAAAGGGAAGAGCCCAGGAUUACCUCAGUCCCUCACAACAACUUCUUACAUGUCUACAGUCCGACACUGCUUUCACCUGCUUUUAGACAUUAGGGUUUGAAAAGAUUAAGUCACUUGCCCAAAGCCAACAGUCCCUAUUUUAUCCUAGCCAUGUUUGGGACCCAGUUUCUGGCUCUGUAGCCAAGGCUGUCACUGUUGUCCACUGCGUGUGUGUGCGCAGUGGUGGGUGGGGACUGGGUAGUGAUUCGCUCCUUUGGGAUGCUUCAAUCCAUGCUCACCUCUUCCAUGUAUCUCCUCCCUUCUUUCCUUGCCCUAAACUUUCUCCAGUGAAAAAGAAGUUUAGUGACUAUUAUGAAAAUUGCACUGAUAACCGCAGCAACUUUUAUAUUUUAAAGCCAUUAUGAGAAGGUGAUUGCACCAAAUGAGCUACAGAAGAGAUAGUGUUGCAAGGAUUAGAAAAACAAAACACCAAAACCUUAGAACAGCUUAAUCUAACAGGUGCUCGGGCUGCAUGUUUUAGUGGGUGCCACACAAUUGUGGUGAACAUGACUAAUAAAUGACCUUAUUAAGUAUUAUUUUACAAAGUCGCAGCAGACAUGGUUGGGUGUCUUUUCAGCAUCCUGUCUGACCCCCACCUUCCUAACAGAGCCUAUCUUGUUCCGGUUCGACCUACAUCAUGUGGUCUUCAACUUCAGGGGAUGCUGGCUCUGGUCCCAGCUCCAAAGGGCAAGUUGUUAUUGGUCCAAGAUGGGCCUGCUGGUCCCCCUAGACAUGGGCGGGUGAUGUAAUUCUGGAGAGUGAAAUGUGGAUGGAUGUGCUGAGAGUCUUCUGGGAAAUGUGUCCUCUCUCCUAAGGAAACCCAUUCCUCCCCAGGAAGAAAUGGUCUCUCUUCCCUCUAUAUUUUGUCAUGUCUGGAUGUGGUGUGUCCAGUUGCAGCAACCAUCAUGUGACCAUGAGGAGAGCCAGAUACUCACCGAGAAAUGGCCAGGGAGAAAGAUGGAAAUGGCUCUGGGUCCUCCAUGAUGUCACUGAGCCACUGAUCACACGCUACGGAGUUGCCUUAUCUCUGGCCUUUGUGUGCUGUGUGAUCAUUUUAAACUUCCUUAUAGUAAAGUCAAUAUUUUCUUUUUAAAAAAAUUUGUGGUAAAAUAUACGUAACGUGAAAUUUACCAUUUUAGCCAUUUCUAAGUGUACAGUUCAGCGGCAUUAAGUACAUUCACAUUGUUGUACAGCCAUUACCACCAUCAUCUCCAGAACUUUCAUCUUCCCAAAUGGAAACUCUGGACCCAUUACACACGAACUCCCCAUCCCCCCUCCCUCCAGCCCCAGGCGACCACCACGCUACAUUCUGGUUCAAUGAACUUGACUACUCUAGGAACCUCAUGUAAGUGGAAUCUACAGUACGUAUCUGUCUUUUGUGCCUGGCUUAUUUCACUUAGCAUAAUGUCCUCAAGGUUCAUCCUUGGUGUACGUGUAAGUCAUUUGGAAAUAAAGUUUCUGAUACUUGCAGCCGAAGGCAUCUCAAGUUAUAAACCCGUUAAAAUAAGGUUCAAAUUUUGUCUUGGCCUCAUUGAUUCUCAAGUGUAAUGGUUAGGAGUAUGGACUCUAGAGGCCAAAUCUCUGAUUUUUUUUUUUUUUUUUUUGCGGUACGCGGGCCUCUCACUGUUGUGGCCUCUCCCGUUGCGGAGCACAGGCUCCGGACGCGCAGGCUCAGCGGCCACGGCUCACGGGCCCAGCCGCUCCGCGGCGUGUGGGAUCUUCCCGGACCGGGGCACGAACCCGUGUCCCCUGCAUCGACAGGCGGACUCUCAACCACUGCGCCACCAGGGAAGCCCCCAAAUCUCUGAUUUUAAAUCCUCACUCUACCACUAAUUGUGUGACCUUAGAAAACAUGCUUACCUCUCUGUACUUCAAUCCUCCCAGCUAUAAUAUUACCUCCUGCAUAGGACUGCUGGAGGAUUAAAUGAGUUAUUCCAUAUAAAGCUCCUAAAAGGGUGUCUGGCACACAUAAUUCUUAUCAUCAUCACUAUUAUUAGCUAUGAGCGGGCAGCAGUUUUGCCAGCUUUCCCUGCAUGCCGUGCAUGGGUUUAUCCUGCUCUUAGCCAGCCAUUAGUAGACAGAUUAUGGGGAAUGUUUCUCCUCCUCUGCCUGGAAUGAAGGGUCAGGGUCCUCUCCAGUCCUUCUUGGUCUUUCUCUUGCUUAGGUCUUCCUGCUCCCAUCUGAGCAGCAUGACCCACUUCCUCCUGACCCAAGGUCAAUUCUAGAAAGACCAACUCCAAGGUCCCAGAACCUAAAGGCCCAGAGGCAGAUGGUGCUAUGGGCAGAAGACCCAGGGUGGGCAGUCGGGCAGCCAGAUCACUCCUCCGAGAGUCCUGGGCUCAAGGAGGGAGGUACCUGAGGGAUGGUGUAUGACUCUGGGUAGCAUGGAUCAGAAAGGGUAAAGUAAGCCUGGUCCCUUGAUUCACUGUGCGGGAAUCUGAGGACGUGAUGGGCAGCAAGGAUAUGGUGGGCAAACUGAGGGAGGGACCAGCAGGCACAGAAAGCUCCAGAGACCAGGAUGCUUCUCCCCCAGCAGUUCUGGGGAAGGAGUGUAGCAGCCCCUGCUCUAAACCCCAGUGUUGUCACUACAGAGGAGCUUUGGAUGUGACAAAGGAAGGAGCAGAGAGGAAGAAGAUGGCUUGAAAGCAUAGAGUGUGGGAGUCAAAGAAUCAACUCUGGAGAUAGGGGAGAGAGAGAGAGAGAGAGAGAGAGAGAGAGUGUGUGUG